rfam:Schistosoma mattheei strain Denwood, Zambia genome assembly, scaffold: SMTD_scaffold0002327
AUCCAGCUGGCGAGUCCCAACUGGGGCGGAACGCACGUCCUGGAU